rnacentral:rRNA from 1 species
UAGGGAAUCUUCGGCAAUGGACGAAAGUCUGACCGAGCAACGCCGCGUGAGUGAAGAAGGUUUUCGGAUCGUAAAACUCUGUUGUUAGAGAAGAACAAGGACGUUAGUAACUGAACGUCCCCUGACGGUAUCUAACCAGAAAGCCACGGCUAACUACGUGCCAGCAGCCGCGGUAAUACGUAGGUGGCAAGCGUUGUCCGGAUUUAUUGGGCGUAAAGCGAGCGCAGGCGGUUUCUUAAGUCUGAUGUGAAAGCCCCCGGCUCAACCGGGGAGGGUCAGUGGAAACUGGGAGACUUGAGUGCAGAAGAGGAGAGUGGAAUUCCAUGUGUAGCGGUGAAAUGCGUAGAUAUAUGGAGGAACACCAGUGGCGAAGGCGGCUCUCUGGUCUGUAACUGACGCUGAGGAUCGAAAGCGUGGGGAGCAAACAGG